UACGAAGGGGGCUAGCGUUGUUCGGAUUUACUGGGCGUAAAGCGCACGUAGGCGGAUCGUUAAGUCGGGGGUGAAAUCCUGGAGCUCAACUCCAGAACUGCCUUCGAUACUGGCGAUCUCGAGUCCGGAAGAGGUGAGUGGAACUCCUAGUCGUAGAGGUGGAAUUCGUAGAUAUUAGGAAGAACACCAGUGGCGAAGGCGGCUCACUG
rnacentral:rRNA from 1 species